CAGGUUGUUACCCACCCCACCGACACGUAACAGAAACCGGGUUCAUCGGUAACGGGAACCCG
rnacentral:sRNA from 1 species